rnacentral:rRNA from 1 species
GAUAUUGCGCAUGGGCGAANCCUGNCGCAGCGACGCCGCGUGGGGGAUGAAGGUCUUCGGAUUGUAAACCCCUUUCGGGAGGGAAGAUGGGAUGGGUAACCAUCCGGACGGUACCUCCAGAAGCAGCCACGGCUAACUUCGUGCCAGCAGCCGCGGUAAUACGAAGGUGGCAAGCGUUGUUCGGAUUCACCUGGGCGUACAGGGAGCGUAGGCGGUUAGGUAAGCCCUCCGUGAAAUCUCCGGGCCUAACCCGGAAAGUGCAGAGGGGACUGCUUGGCUAGAGGAUGGGAGAGGAGCGCGGAAUUCCCGGUGUAGCGGUGAAAUACGUAGAGAUCGGGAGGAAGGCCGGUGGCGAAGGCGGCGCUCUGGAACAUUUCUGACGCUGAGGCUCGAAAGCGUGGGGAGCAAACAGGAUUAGAUACCCUGGUAGUCCACGCCUUAAACUAUGGAUACUAAGUGUCGGCGGGUUACCGCCGGUGCCGCAGCUAACGCAGUAAGUAUCCCGCCUGGGAAGUACGGCCGCAAGGUUGAAACUCAAAAAAAUUGACGGA